UUUGGGUGACAGGAUGUGGGGAAAGCUGUGGGCAUUCCUGGAAAAAGAAAUGAACAUCAAGACAACAGGGUGAGGUGCCCCCAAAGGCUUCAAUGGGCCAUGACUAGACUAUAAACUCCCAGAGGGCAGGGCUGGGGCUGAGUGUCCAGGGCACCGGGUGUACAGUGGUGCUCAGUAAACAUGGUAGACUAGUGAACAGAGGUGUGAUUGGGUGCAGGGUGCUAAAGCUUGCCCAGCCUGAGUUUUCGCUUAACUCCCACCCUGGGCCCUUGGUCUCGCUCUUUUUUUUUGGGGGGGGGGGAUAUUGGGGAUUGAAUGUGGCCGCUGAGCCUCAUUCCCAGCCCUGUUUUGUAUUUUUAUUUAGAGACAGGGUUUCACUGAGUUGCUUAGCCCUGGGUUCACUUUUAAAUAUUUAUUCCAUGAAGGCCAGUGCUUCUUGGAAGGACAAAUGUGGCCCACUUUCCAGAGUUCAUUUCAGCAUAAGGGGCAGGUAACCCCUGGCCCAUGCCCACCCUGUGAGCUCCAGCUUCCUCCUUGGCUGCAGAGCUUUGCUUCAGGCUCGCAGAGGACAGGAUUCUUGUCUCCAGAAAUAAAAACUUUCAGUAUGGGUUUAAACCAGGUGGGAAUUGGCAGAAGUCUCUCUGUUGCCACUUCUUGCAUCUGAACACGUAUCUUGGCUCCCAAUUCUAUGACCUGCACUGGAUCGGUCCCCUCUGGUUACAGGACAAGCAGUUGGGGAGGGGGGUAAGAGUGGAUAGACCAGUGACACACAGGGUCAGGUGCUCUGGGGGACCUGAGUUGGGCAGUCAGCUGGGCACUGGCAUGCCAAGGCAAGAAAAGUUCUGGGCGGGAGGCAGAAGCCAGAGGUUCUUAGCAGGCAUGAGCAGGAGCUGUCAGGGAGGACUGGGCUGGAGAUUUCAGCUGGGCUUAUGCAGCAGGGACCCCACAGCCUCCUCCAUAAGGCAGGCAGGCACCUCUUCCUGGCAACUCUCUAGCUGCAGGACCCCUCUGAUGGCCAAAAGUGUGCAGGCAGUGGCUCUUUCUGUGGCUUCCCACCCCCCCCCCCAGUACUGGGGGUUGAACCCAGGGCCUUGUGCUUGCUAAACAGGGGCUUUAUCACUGAGAUCUAUCUCCACUGCCCACAGAGGAGCAUGGAGCUCACAGGGCAUUUUAAGAUCCCCACAUCUCAUCUGAAGGAAAGGCCCCCAUGUCUGUCUGUCUCUCUGUCUCUCUCUCUCUCAUGAAACCAGUGGGUGAAAUGAUUCUGUGACCCAAGGACAGUCAGAGCACUGAGGUGUCUGGGAACUCAUCUUGCUGAAACAUGUACUCCUGAGGAGACAGGUCCCCACCUGCUCCUCUGGCACCAGGUAUUUGGGAGAGGUCAAGUCCCAUCUCUAUGGGUGUGAGGCUAAAGAGUGGGUUGCUAAGGAGAAAUCCUCCCGCAGGCAUUUACAGGUUUUGCUGCCAACCUGUGCAUGGAGUCUCCUGCAGGUCAGUCUCCUGCUGGUUCACCUGGGACAGGAGCAGAAUGAACCUAUGAAUCUGCUGAAAAAUCGGGAGAACCCGAGGCCUUGUGGCAUCCCCUAAGCCCUCCCUUUGGGAUCUCCCCUCUGGAGGUGACAGUGGCAAAGAGGGCCUUCUCACCUCAUGCCCAACACCUAUACCAGUUUAUGGCCACAGCUAGAUUGGCAGAGUGGAAAAGAAACAUACAGGUUGGCAGAGCUGUCCUGGAGAACAGAUCCAGCCACGGGCUUAUUUCCCCUGGAGCUGGGGAUGGAGUCCUGGGCCUGGUGCAGGCAAAGCAAGCGUUCUGCCGCUGAGCUGCACCCCCCUCCCCGCUUUAGUUCUUAUGUGGGUCCCUAGAAUGUGGCUGUGUCUGGGGAGCAGAGUGUGCCUCAGGGAGCGUGUCCCUGAGGCUGAACCGCCCUUUCGGAGAGCUGCCUGGGCAUGUGAUGUCGGGGAGAAGGCAGCCACCCACCGGGGGUUCCCAGUGAGUAACAAGUUUCACUCAGGGCUCUCGGAGGCCCUGGCAAGGCCCCAGGCGCUUAGAGCAGCUCCAAUAAAACGUGAAGAAUGGUUUCCGGAGCGUGAGAAAGGCGCCGGAGGACACGCCCUGCGCGCGCGGUGCUGCCGCCCGAGUUCCACUGGGGGGCAGCAGGGAGCAGGGGCGGGACCGCCGAUCGCAGAACCCGGUUGCGUGAAUGAGGGGUUCCCUGGCCCAGGAGUCGGGCGGUAAAGCAAGAAAAUGCCAAACAGAAUACGUGCUCGCUGCUGCUCCGGUUGUGGAGAGUGAGCCCAGAGCAGAGCCGGUCAUCUUGGUGUUCGGUAUAUAUUAGGAUUUUUUAAAAUAAAUCUCAGGGAACAUAGGACAAAGAACCAGCCUGUGGGUGGCGCGCACCUGCAGUCCUGAGCAGUCGGGAGGCUGAAGCAGGAGGCUCUCAUGAGCCCAGGAGUUCGAGGCCAGACUUAAAAAAAGAAAAAAAUCAAGAACCACCCCAGACCUCAAAACUCAAAGGCAGAUCCAGGGGACUGAUUUUUGAUGGCUGUAAACUCCUAAGGGUGAAAAUGAAUAUUCAGAAUGAAAGAAACAUGUCAUAUAAAAUGGGUGGUACUUGGAGAUGCACGUCCCAUCCGUUUGGUUUCUCUUUGAGCAAUUUACCAGACACCCAAAAUUCCAUGGGAAUUCUUCCUGGUGUCGUGCCUGGUCUCCCCUCCUCCCCGGAACAUCUGUUACUCCAUGUCUGUGCUCCUGAGGGGCCCCAGGUUUGAGCCUCAGCAGCUCUGGGGUGAAUCCAUCUCUGCCCAACACUGACUGGACUUCUCAGACAGCAGUACCAGGAUAAUUGCCUUCCUGCGGCUUCGCCCCCACAGGCUGUGACAUGCAUUCACACACGCCCAUGUCAUUGAGGUGAUGUUUUGGCUUCUCUUUUACCCUGUCCUUCCUAUCUAUCUGGUAAGCUUGAUAAAUUCAGAUUUCCUCACCCUA